rnacentral:tRNA from 1 species
GGGUUGGUAGUUCAAUUGGUAGAGCAACGGUUUCCAAAACCGUAAGUUGAGGGUUCGAGUCCUUCCCAGCCCG